GACGAACGCUGGCGGCGUGCUUAACACAUGCAAGUCGAACGGUGAAGCGCUUUCCUUUUUGGUUGGUGUGGAUGAGUGGCGAACGGGUGAGUAACACGUGAGUAACCUGCCCCCUUCUUCUGGAUAACCGCAUGAAAGUGUGGCUAAUACGGGAUAUUCUGCGCCUGCUGCAUGGUGGGUGUGGGACAGAUUGUGCCUUUGGGUGUUUUCGGUGGGGGAUGGGCUCGCGGCCUAUCAGCUUGUUGGUGGGGUGAUGGCCUACCAAGGCGGUGACGGGUAGCCGGCCUGAGAGGGUGGACGGUCACACUGGGACUGAGACACGGCCCAGACUCCUACGGGAGGCAGCAGUGGGGAAUAUUGCACAAUGGGCGCAAGCCUGAUGCAGCGACGCCGCGUGAGGGAUGGAGGCCUUCGGGUUGUGAACCUCUUUCGCCAGUGAAGCAGGCCUGCUCCUUGUGGGUGGGUUGACGGUAGCCGGAUAAGAAGCGCCGGCUAACUACGUG
rnacentral:rRNA from 1 species